GGGGCAUUGUAGACGUCCUGGGCCAGCCAGCUGACCACCUUCUCUGUGCUGGGAAAUGCACACAAAAUUUUUUCAAGGUGGAACAGCACUUGGACAGCCCAAGAUGGUGGAUGAAGACCCCAAGGGAAUACCAGCUUGACACUGGAAUUGAGCCGAAAACAUGGGACACAACAAUCAGAAGUCUGGAUGACCUGAUAACACACAACCCAGACACACGGGAAUCCAUUGAGCUGGAGGAUCAGAGAGCCUUUGUCAG